UACGGAGGGGACUAGCGUUGUUCGGAAUUACUGGGCGUAAAGCGCACGUAGGCGGAUUUGUAAGUCAGGGGUGAAAUCCCGGGGCUCAACCUCGGAACUGCCUUUGAUACUAUAGAUCUUGAAUUAUCUGGAGGUAAGCGGAAUAUGUCAUGUAGCGGUGAAAUGCUUAGAUAUGACAUAGAACACCAAUUGCGAAGGCAGCUUACUACGGGUACAUUGACACUGAGGCACGAAAGCGUGGGGGAUCAAACAGG
rnacentral:rRNA from 1 species